rfam:Capsella rubella cultivar Monte Gargano unplaced genomic scaffold scaffold_3, whole genome shotgun sequence.
GAAGGCCUAUGAUGAUUCAAAAGUUUGCCUACAUUGUUUGAGUAAAUCCAUGAUAUAACUCUUCUUACAAAAUGUUUCUGAGGCCUUU